rnacentral:lncRNA from 1 species
AACCAACUCCAGUCGAAUGUCACGCCUGCCCAGCUCAUUCGUGAAAGACUUGCACUAGUCUAGCAUGCUUUAUGAGCUGCCAACCCCAUACUGAAAAUGGGAUAUGGAGUAAAAUUAUUAUGCAGAGUGUGGAGGAAGAAGGGAGUGAUGUUUUUGUUUUCUUUUCUCAUCCAGGACUAUAUUCUUUGCUGAUACCAUGCGGUGGGUGGAACUAUCACCCCAUAGCAAUGAAAUGUUUGAGGAUGAGGUCAAUGUGACAGAGAUUGUGUUCUUCACAAAGCACAAAGAAUUCUUCCAGCGUACGUGGAGAGACCAGGAUCGCACUCCUUUAAUGAGAUGUGUGGAAGAAAUGCAGGAUUACAUCUUCUUUAAUUACUGCAAUGCGAAGUUUGCAACUGCAAGGGCCUUUAUGAACAACCUGAUAAUUCUUGGACUAUCAACAGAAAUGAUAGCAAGCAUAGGAAAAGGCUACAUGAAAGAUCCAUUUUAUGGCAAACAAACUCGAGGGACUUAUCGAGGGCUAUUUGGUCAUCCAGACUCUCCUGUCACUUAUCUAAAGGCAAUGCUGAUCCAGCCAAUGUACCUGCGCUUCUUCCAUGCAGUGAUUACCUUGAUGAGGGUAUGGCAAGGGUCGCCAGAUUGUUCCGACGAUGAUGAGUCAUAUUGCCCAAGAUACAUCAUAGAGGAGAUGUUUGUGGACAGAAUCAAGAAGAUCGCUGAAAGCUCAUCAGAAGACGAAAGUAGUAACUCAACUACAAGUUCUCAGAAUCAACAGGAACAUGAACAACUCAAGGAUGAAGAACUCAAGAAGACGGAAAAUACCAAUAAUACAAAAAAACCAAAGACAGAGACCCAGCCACGCAAGGUCUCCAGAAAAACACUGAAAGCAAAUGCAUUUGCUGCUAAGAAACUGUCCAGGAUGAAUAAAGCUUCAUCCAAAAAAGCGGAGCCCGAUACGGAAUACUACGCAAUCAUAUGUGUUCGCCGAGGAGGGGAGUACAAAUCGAAUAAUGAAGAAGAGGAAAAAGAAGAAGAAUCAUGUUCGAAAGUUAAACGGAAACACGACGACACUGCCGUGCCUCCUGAACCUCGUGCUGAACAACUUGAUGACCUUGAAGAUUUCACAAUACCAGAUUUCUACUUCCAACAAGCAUCUCAUCAUGAUGAAGACUUGACAUUUGAAUUUGAAUUCAUGACUAUGGAUGAUGGCAGUGAAGGUGACCUUGCCGAUGUGGUUAGGUUUCAUGAGUGUACAUCAUGUUUCACCUUUGAGCACACUCCAGAUGUGUUCAAGCAGUGCAAACGGUGCAAAACGGAGCACUGGUUACUACCCAAGUAUUACUGCAGUCAAAAAUGCCAAGGUUAGUGGGUAUGACGUGGCUGUGCCAAACACUAUUGGAGCCCUUUUUGUUUUUGAUCAUUUUAAUAUCUUUGGUGUUUGAGAUUUUAAUUUUUUUGGAGUUGGAUUUGUUGAUCUUGAGGAAGCAACAGUUGUGGAGGAUCAAGAACUGCAAGACAGUGGAGGGAAAGCAUGCCCCCCCCUCCCCAACACAAACCUAUCCGUUAGGGUUAGGGUUCCUGCUUUGUUGUACGCUUGCAGAAUAAAAAGGGCUGUUAAAAGCAGGGUCUGAGGAUUAUAAGGUGGGGGAAUUGCAGGGACAGCGUCACUGGAGAGGAAGAGGGUCAGGUAUGAGGAACUUGGCGAAGAAGCCAAAUAUUUGGAAGAGUGGAACAAGUACGGAGAGGCAUUUAAGGGAAUUGCAGAAGUUUUGUGUGGAAGAACAUCAGGAAUGGGUGCAUUGUCGAGGGAUAUGAACAAGGUAUGAUGGAUGAAGGAAAUAGCAAAGGGAGUUGGUGAAAAUGAGGCUUGGAAGAGGAUAGAGAAGAUCAAGGAUCAAGGGGGACAAUCAUAUUCAGAGCUGCUCCACCUGCAUGGGCAAAAGAAGAAAGCAUUAAGAAUGUGGUGGACAAGAUGAGGAUUGAUAUGGAAGAGGAUUGUGUGAGGAAGAUCUAUAAAUUGACUCAUGAGAGGGAUAAGGAUAGCAAGGACAUGAAGGGAGGAUGGUGAUGGGAGACUAGUGAUAUAGGGGGGAAAUAUUGAAGGUAAGGAAAGGAUAUUUCAAGAAGUUGUUGAAACUGCGAGCAGAGGUUCCGUGUUAUGUGGAGAUUAUGGAGGAGGUGCAGAGAGAAUUAGAAGAUAAAGAAGCUAAUAGUGCCAGGUAUUAAUGAGGUGCAUACAGAGAUGAUAAUUGCAGUGGGAGAUCGACAAAGAGCC